rnacentral:snRNA from 1 species
AGCUUUGCGCAGUGGCAGUAUCGUAGCCAAUGAGGUUUAUCCGAGCUGUGAUUAUUGCUAAUUAGAAAUGA